rnacentral:rRNA from 1 species
AUGAUCCCAAUUUUGAGAUGCGUCGCUCGCCGCCGAGAUCCUGCACGCGCCACCCCCGCCUCCUCCCGUCGGUGGACUGACAGGAUGCCCUCCUUAGCGGCCGCUCUAGGCAUGAGGGGGGCUGUGUUGGCGGCAUUGGCUUCUAGAUCUGUCUAUGACGGUGGAGGGGAAGCACGGCGGGGGGACCUCGGGUAUGCCCAUGAUGACGUCACCUAUGAGAGAACAGAGGGAGCUCAGGGGAGGAAGAGGAGAGAUAACAUAAAAAGGAGCGGAGGAGGAGGUCAGGUGGCACGACGGUGCGGGGUUGCCUGCUGCCCCGCCGCCCGUAACAGGAGCUCGUUCACUGACGUGGAAGCAACAGUUGCCACGGGAGUUGGUUGGAGAGGAAACAGAGACUAG